rnacentral:rRNA from 1 species
GACGAAGGGGGCUAGCGUUGUUCGGAAUUACUGGGCGUAAAGCGCGUGUAGGCGGUUGCCAAAGUCGGGUGUGAAAGCCUUGAGCUCAACUCAAGAAUUGCACUCGAUACUUGGUGACUAGAGGACCGGAGAGGAUAGUGGAAUUCCCAGUGUAGUGGUGAAAUACGUAGAGAUUGGGGAAGAACACCAGUGGCGAAGGCGGCUAUCUGGACGGUUUCUGACGCUAAGACGCGAAAGCGUGGGGAGCAAACAGG